GCACCUUAUAAAUACCGGCACUGUUGUUCUGUGCGCUCAGUUUAUAUUGAACGGUGCUAUAGAGAACAACUCAUAUAAAACUAACGAAAAAGCUGAUAAAGCGACGAAACACUAAACAUAGAUUUCAAAACAUUCGAGAAACAACAUACAUACAUAUUGCAGAAAGAAAAGAAAAUACAUACAAAUUUUAUAGAGACUUUGAUUUUGGUGUAACAUUUCACUUUUGGGUGGAAACUACAAAGCAAAAAAAUGUUGCGAGGUAGCGUUUUAUUGCUAACACUACUAGCCAUAUUCGGCUAUCUACAGGCGUUGCCAUACUAUGGAGAUUUACAACAAUAACAUGCACUACAGAAUAACAAUGUUUAACCAGAUAACCGGGCAAGUACACAGUAAACUUUGGCACAAACAGUUUUUUUUAACUUAUUUAUUUUAUUUAAAAAAGUACUCGAUUUGUGGAGGCACCCUAAUGUGCAUAUGUAUAUUAUACAUACAUCCGUAUGUAUGAGGCUAUCAUGCGUGAAUAAUAUGUAUUUCUAAAAAUAUACUAUAUGUAGGUACACAUAUACAUAUGCAUAUACCUUCACUUACCUACACCACAUAAGUAUGUAUAAAUGUACAUCAUCGUUUGAUUUAUUACUUCUAGUAAUUUCUCAAUUAACGGUCAUGCAUGCAGCAGCCAUCAUUUCAAUUUAAAGUGAAAUUACGUUGCAAGGCAAUUGAAAUGAAAGCGCACAGUUGCAGCAGAUUUAAA